rnacentral:rRNA from 1 species
AGCGGCAGACGGGUGAGUAACACGUAGGUAACCUGCCCUCAAGACGGGGAUAACGCCUGGAAACGGGCGCUAAUACCGGAUGACCUUAGUUGGGGAAGAUUCGAUUAAGGAAAGGCUAUGGCGCUUGAGGAGGGGCCUGCGGCCCAUCAGUUAGUUGGUAGGGUAACGGCCUACCAAGGCGAAGACGGGUAGGGGGUGUGAGAGCACGGCCCCCCACACUGGGACUGAGACACGGCCCAGACUCCUACGGGAGGCAGCAGCGGGGAAUAUUGCGCAAUGGACGGAAGUCAGACGCAGCGACGCCGCGUGGGUGAAGAAGGCCUUCGGGUUGUAAAGCCCUUUUCUGAGGGAAGAGAAAGGACGGUACCUUAGGAAUAAGCGUCGGCUAACUACGUGCCAGCAGCCGCGGUAAGACGUAGGACGCGAGCGUUAUCCGGAUUUACUGGGCGUAAAGCGUGUGUAGGCGGCGUGACAAGUUGGGCGUGAAAGCCCCGUGCUCAACGCGGGGAGGCCGCACAAUACUGUCAGGCUAGAGGGCACCAGAGGGGUGUGGAAUUCCCGGAGUAGCGGUAAAAUGCGCAGAUAUCGGGAGGAACACCGGUGGCGAAAGCGGCACCCUGAGGUGCGCCUGACGCUGAGAGACGACAGCUAGGGGAGCGAACAGGAUUAGAGACCCUGGUAGUCCUAGCCGUAAACGAUGGAUGCUAGGUGUAGGAGUGAAGAGCUUCUGUGCCGCAGCGAACGCGAUAAGCAACCCGCCUGGGGAGUACGGCCGCAAGGUUAAAACUCAAACGAAUUGACGGGGACCCGCACAAGCAGCGGAGCGUGUGGUUUAAUUCGAUGCUACACGAAGAACCUUACCUGGGAUUGACAUAUAGGUGGUAGUGAUCCGAAAGGAGAGCGACCCUUCGGGGAGCCUAUACAGGUGCUGCAUGGCUGUCGUCAGCUCGUGCCGUGAGGUGUAGGGUUAAGUCCCGUAACGAGCGCAACCCUUGUCCUUAGUUACAAGUGUCUAAGGGGACUGCGGGCGGGAAGCCGGAGGAAGUUGGGGAUGAGGUCAAGUCAGCAUGGUCGUUAUAUCCAGGGGGA